UGCCAUGCUAAGUGCUCUGCUAAUCUUAUCAUUGCUGUGGUCUGUGGGAGUCGAUUGGACUACAAGGAGCAGGACUUUAUAGAGGUAUACAACUCCCUUCCAGAUAUAAUGGAGUGCCUCCCAGGACCACAUAAAACAGCUUUUGCUGAAUCCGAAAAAUUAUGUCCUUUCAUCAAGAAGAUGGUAAAGUCCCAUCAGCAGACACUGGAUCCUCAGGACCCCCGUGACUUUGUUGAUUGCUUUCUCACCAAGUCAGAGAAGGAAAAACAUUAUCCUGAUGAUAUCUACACCAUUGGAGAACUUAUCAUGAUUGUGCGUGGACUCUUUCUUGUUGGAUCAGGAACUACAAACCAAGGAAAAGUACUAAACAGGCUCCUGAAAUGGAACAUCGAGUGAGGAUGCCCCUUACCAAUGCAGGAAUCCAUGAGAUUCUACGGUAUGAGAAACUGAGCCCCGAGAACUUUCCACGUGCAACAACUCGUUGUACAAAAAUUAAGGAGCACAACAUUCCCCAGAUCAAGAAGACCAACCCAAACUACUCCAGCUACUUUUGCUUCUGUCUGGAUUAUUUACUACAUUCCAGGAUACUAAAUCAACCUGAUUCAUCUUUCAGGAUGGCCUCGAUCAAAGUGGGAAUUAAUUAUUGUUUAUUAAUAUGUAUACUAUUGAUUUAUUCUGGUUCCAAUGUUGAAUGGAAGGAGAAUUAUUGGUAUAAAGUAACAUUACUCACUAAAGAUGCUAUAAAUAUGAAGGAUUGUUGGUACUGCCAUCUAAAGGAGAGAUCUUUGUGACUCCUGUUUCUGUGCAUAAAAUUUUAUGUUCUAAAUUUAUAUAUGCUCCCUUGAGACAUAAACGAUCUUGGGCUGAUGUUGGUGAUUUUCUAGCUCGUACAAUUUUCCCAGGCUAUCAAACCUUGCAACAGAUUAAUACAGAUCAUUUUGUUCAUAACCUUUCUAUGCUUUUAGAGGCAGGUUUGAAUACUACUGGAAAAACAAUGAUUGACCUUCAAGAAGAAACUGACUCAUUGGCACGAAUUGUUACUGACAAUCGAAUUGUCCUUGAUAGCAUGUUGGCUGAACAAGGUGGAGUCUGCAUAGUGUUGAAUCAUUCUUGCUGUAUGUAUGUUCACAAUUCUGGACUAAUUGAGGAGGACGUUCAUAAAAUCUAUCGUGUUGCUGGUCUUACAGCUGAUGCCAGACAGUCGUGGGAGAAGAUACACAACUUAUUUAAAACUGUUUGGGACACACUAACGAGUUGGAUACCUUUUGGAUGGUUAAGAACUUUAUUCAUUGUAAUUGUUUUUGUUCUAUUUCUUAUUCUGAUUACUUGUUGUUGUAUUCAAUGCUUUCCACUUUGUAUAAAUGCUUGUUCUUUAUUUAAAUUGACUCGAGCGGAAAAGUAACAAUAUUAAGUAGUGAGCUAUUGCUCUCUCCAGUUCGCAACAGCUCAAGAGAGGGAUUAUAUAAUGAAUUUAAGCCUUCUAUAUAUAAUCAUAUAGCCAUAGAACAGCCAUGUUUAUCCUAUUCAUGAACUUUACUAGGAAACUCACGUUGCUGGCAUGAAGGAAUAUUGGAAUGUACACU